AGAGUUUGAUCAUGGCUCAGGAUGAACGCUAGCUACAGGCUUAACACAUGCAAGUCGAGGGGAAACGAUAUUGGAAGCUUGCUUCCGAUAGGCGUCGACCGGCGCACGGGUGAGUAACGCGUAUCCAACCUGCCCACCACUUGGGGAUAACCUUGCGAAAGUAAGACUAAUACCCAAUGAUAUCUCUAGAAGACAUCUGAAAGAGAUUAAAGAUUUAUCGGUGAUGGAUGGGGAUGCGUCUGAUUAGCUUGUUGGCGGGGUAACGGCCCACCAAGGCAACGAUCAGUAGGGGUUCUGAGAGGAAGGUCCCCCACAUUGGAACUGAGACACGGUCCAAACUCCUACGGGAGGCAGCAGUGAGGAAUAUUGGUCAAUGGACGAGAGUCUGAACCAGCCAAGUAGCGUGCAGGAAGACGGCCCUAUGGGUUGUAAACUGCUUUUAUAAGGGAAUAAAGUGAGAGUCGUGACUCUUUUUGCAUGUACCUUAUGAAUAAGGACCGGCUAAUUCCGUGCCAGCAGCCGCGGUAAUACGGAAGGUCCGGGCGUUAUCCGGAUUUAUUGGGUUUAAAGGGAGCGUAGGCCGGAGAUUAAGCGUGUUGUGAAAUGUAGACGCUCAACGUCUGCACUGCAGCGCGAACUGGUUUCCUUGAGUACGCACAAAGUGGGCGGAAUUCGUGGUGUAGCGGUGAAAUGCUUAGAUAUCACGAAGAACUCCGAUUGCGAAGGCAGCUCACUGGAGCGCAACUGACGCUGAAGCUCGAAAGUGCGGGUAUCGAACAGGAUUAGAUACCCUGGUAGUCCGCACGGUAAACGAUGGAUGCCCGCUGUUGGUCUGAAUAGGUCAGCGGCCAAGCGAAAGCAUUAAGCAUCCCACCUGGGGAGUACGCCGGCAACGGCGAAACUCAAAGGAAUUGACGGGGACCCGCACAAGCGGUGGAGCAUGUGGUUUAAUUCGAAGCAACGCGAAGAACCUUACCAAGUCUUGACAUCCUUCUGACCGGACAGUAAUGUGUCCUUUCCUUCGGGACAGAAGUGACAGGUGGUGCAUGGUUGUCGUCAGCUCGUGUCGUGAGAUGUUGGGUUAAGUCCCGCAACGAGCGCAACCCUUAUCCCCAGUAGCCAGCGGUUCGGCCGGGCACUCUGAGGAGACUGCCAGGGAUAACCUGGAGGAAGGUGGGGAUGACGUCAAAUCAUCAUGCCCCUUAUGACUUGGGCUACACACGUGCUACAAUGGCGUAAACAAAGGGAAGCGAGACCGUGAGGUGGAGCAAAUCCCAAAAAUAACGUCUCAGUUCGGACUGUAGUCUGCAACCCGACUACACGAAGCUGGAAUCGCUAGUAAUCGCAGAUCAGAAUGCUGCGGUGAAUACGUUCCCGGGUCUUGUACACACCGCCCGUCACACCAUGGGAGUUGGAAAUGCCCGAAGUCAGUGACCCAACCGCAAGGAGGGAGCCGCCGAAGGCAGGUUCGAUAACUGGGGUGAAGUCGUAACAAGGUA
rnacentral:rRNA from 1 species